rnacentral:lncRNA from 1 species
GAGACCUAGUCACGGACACCUGGUGCUGGGAAUCAAUCAAAGUCCCACCAGUCCCUCCAUCAGCCAAUCUCAAUAAUCGCCUGACUCCCACACUGCCCUCCCCUGCUGUAAUGCUGCGGCUGUUUGUGCUCGGGUCCUUCAUCACAACCCCGGUUGUAGCACCCACACUCGUCAACAGUUCUAGUUGUCAGGUUCUGCUCGGGUCCUUCAUCACAACCCUGGUUGCAGCAUCCACACCCGUCAACAGUUGAAGUCGUCCAUGUGUAGGUAGGUUCGUGCUCACCCAGUCCUGCAUCUUCUGUCUCCAUUUAAUUGCGUCGGACCUCUGUUUGUGUGACCUGAGGUUGUGAGAGGCGGAUGCCGGGAAAGAACCAAUAAGUUUGCCUUUCAUCGAUUUCAUUGCUGCGAUUCUUCCCACGUCCUCAGAGCACGUGCGGUCACGUGACCACACUAGUUAGUCUCCCGAGCGCUUGAAGACGUCUGUCAACAUGACGAGGUUUUGUCUGCGCUCCCUGAGCCUGGCCGUUCUCUGUCUGCUGAUCUGCAUUUCGGGUCAAAGAGCAAAGGGUCAGGACACGAACUCCACUGCAAGCAGCGAUCCAGCACCAAACAAUCAGACCGCAGACGACACCACGUCAGCUUCCGACACCGGGGUGGAUGGCACUACCACUGCUGGCCCUAUUUCAGACAGCCCGAUGAAUGACACCACCGCUACCGAACCCAUUGCCUCACCUGAACAGGGUGGUGCUGUACCCGAUAACACCACCUCUGAGACCAGUGCACCAGACGCACCACCAGCGGGUGACACGGGCUCAGCGUCAAACUUCAGCACAUCCAGAGGUGCCGACAGAAGCGACCACAGAAUCUCCACCACCGACGAGCGACGAUAAAGGAAACUCAACAUCGUCUGCAGAGCCUCCAACGGUCGAUGCCGUCACGAACGAGGCUGCGGCCCCUGAAAACGUGACGACGUCACCCACUGAGAGUGUGACGUCACAGGAGACGACUAGCGAACCCGCUGAGACAACAGGUGCCACAGAAACAACGGAAGUCAGCGAGCAGACGACAAGUACAGCGACCACUCAGUCCACAGGCGCCACCACCUCAGCCUCACAGGAUGAAGCGGCAGAAGCGGAGGCAGUCUUCGUCAUCAAGGACGAGAAUGACAAACCUUGUCUUCUGGCCAGCCUUGACUUCACCAUUCGUGUCUUGUACAUCGGAUCAGCAGGGCCAGAACCAGACAUAUGAAGCAUCGCUACCAGACCCUAAGGACGUGACGGUCGCCGGUUCUUGCGGCAAAAGCUCCUCCAGCCUGCAGCUGGCCUGGAACAACACCACCUUCGCUCUCAACCUCGCUUUCGUCCUGUCGGGCCCAGGGAACCGUAGCUCGGGAAGAUGAUGCAUCGCCUGAAGUGACUGAGAACACGAACUACACAUGGAGCUUGAGUGAGAUCUCGCUGACCUAUGACACGUCCGAAGUCAGCGUCUUCCCGGGGGCGUCAGAUCGCAAGGUGCAGACAGCCACUGUCCGGGACUUGAACCUGUUCUCCACACCACUGGGGCAGUCGUACGUGUGCCACGAAGCUCAGCUGCUGUCCAUGGAGCUGCAGGGCGCUCGCCUCGAGUUCAACUGGGUGCACCUCAUGCCGUUUGGGGUCAACGGAACCCGCUUCAGCGCUGAGGCAGAAAACUGUCAGGCGGGUGGUGCAAGCGAGUCGGCGCCAGGUCAGCAAGAUGCCUACCUCAUACCUCUCAUCGUCGCCUGCAGCCUCGCUGCCCUCGUUGUCAUCAUCGUCCUGGGCUACGCCAUCAGUCGCUGCGUCACAAGGCAUCAGCGCCAGUCAGAGUACAAACAAAUGCCAUAGAAUACAAGACAUUACUCAGAAUACAAACAAAUGCCGUAGAAUACAAGACAUUAGUCAGAGUACAAACAAAUGCCAUAGAAUACAAGACAUUAGUCAGAGUACAAACAAAUGCCAUAGAAUACAAGACAUUAGUCAGAGUACAAACAAAUGCCAUAGAAUACAAGACAUUAGUCAGAGUACAAACAAAUGCCGUAGAAUACAAGACAUUAGUCAGAGUACAAACAAAUGCCAUAGAAUACAAGACAUUAGUCAGAGUACAAACAAAUGCCGUAGAAUACAAGACAUUAGUCAGAGUACAAACAAAUGCCGUAGAAUACAAGACAUUAGUCAGAGUACAAACAAAUGCCGUAGAAUACAAGACAUUACUCAGAAUACAAACAAAUGCCGUAGAAUACAAGACAUUACUCAGAAUACAAACAAAUGCCAUAGAGGGCAAGGAAUCGAUCAAAAUGCCGUAGAAUGAAACAGUACACCAAGUAAGACCAGCCAUUAAUGAAGAUGCCACAAAGAUGCUCAUAGAGGAAUAAAAUAAGAAACAACAAACUUGUGGAAAUCAAGCCGACAUCCCAUAAUGCACACUUCGUUCACUGACUCUAUGAGAUAAGCAAAAGAGAAAGUCGAAAUACUACAGGCAGAUUGUGGAGACAUGGAUUAUGCAUCAGGUGGAUUAGAAUAUACAGUUAACAUAUUACCUGUUAGGUGACAUUUCCACUGUUGUUACUUUCUGCUUGUAGCUGUAUAUACGAGGUAUUAGAGGGAGCAGAGUUAUGAGUUACUUUCUUGUCAUUCAUUUUUUUAUUGAUACUUCUAGAACAGUUGAUUUUUAACCUAGGUUUCUUCGAGGUAGCAAGAGCAACAUGUCAUUAAUUUUAAAUUCUGAAACCUCUGAAGUUGUCAUCAUUCUUGUCCCUCUGUCGCCCACCCAUCCACCUCUCGGACACCCACCCACGUAUGUCCAUCGUUAGACGAUCUGCUGCGUAACCCAGACUUCGCAAUUCGUCUUCAGACUUCAUGGUGUCUGCUUCUCCACUCAUGCAAUCAUUGACCACUGACAUAUAAUACCCCAUCAUUUCGGGAAGAUUCCUAGGUCCCUCGCUACGACAAUUGAUAUCCCAACUGCCAAAUGAUUAAGACAUGAAAACGCAAAUCUCAUAGAAAUUGUAUUCGAAAUUCCUUAAAAUUUUGAUUGAAGCUAGAAGUGAUAAAUGUUCGGCUAAGAAUGCAGAAACCCAUGUGCACAACAUAUUUGUGUUAAGAGAGAGGAAAGUUUCAAAGUGGUUGAAAUCAGUCUUUGAAGUCGCGCACCAAAAGUAAGUUAUUUAGACAUAUUACUUUCUAAAGUAAGUUAUUUAGACAUACUCACCGUAUAGACGACAACACCACCACCAACAACAACCAAACGACAGCUCAGCAGCAGGACUGCGAGAUAAUGUUGUUACAAGUGCGACUCCUGUCUAGAGGAAAGAUGUCCACAUGUAUCAGGUUGAUACUUUUUUUUAAAGACUUUACAGACUGACCGACGGUGUGACUGAUGUUACCUGUCAUCUGUCAACGAGUACAUUUGCUCCCAUCUUCUUGUUCCUCAUCUACCCCAGUGGAGCAUAGAGCAACAAGACAUUUGCUCCCAUGCAACACCCUGUAUCAUGCAGCCAGUGAGGAACCCAUCCAGUCUUAUUUCACUUGACCUGUUCAAGAAAAAAAUCCACUUCUUGGUUGCUGUUAUUCACACACCUUUGGAUAUCACAGACACUUAAAUAUGGAGAGCGUCAGCUUGAGCAGGUUCAAUGUUUUGCCAUAAAUACAUUUCCACGCAUGUGCCAACUGUUCAUAUUCUACAUUGUACUAUGUACAGUUCUGUUUGUCUUUAUGCUUGCUGCACAAAUAAAUCUUGGCGUGUUUAUCGAGGCCAAAUAUCUUAUUAACUUAAUAGUGUAGUGUAGUACUUAGUGCAGACUCAGCCAUUUCUCUCCUUGUACUCUGUCUUUGAUUUAAAGAACACUUUGACAACUUGUUCAUUUUCCGUUGUAAUGAGAAGAAUUGUACAUGGGUUGUGGUGAAUGUUGACAAAUUUUGUGAAUAUUUUGUAUACUUCGUUGAUGACUUCUUGAAUAAAAUUUAUGAAGUAUUCA